CACGAGGCUCGUGGCUCGUGAGUCUAUGAUUUCACGGGCACAAGAUCACAAAAUUGAAGUAGAUGAACUGCAUGCAUCACGAACCAGCGGGUCUGGACUACGGAAUGUUCGGAUCCUGAAGCCAGGCCCAAUCACUCAGGCGGAUACAUGUCGAUGACGCUUCUUGCUAGCAGGACGUCUUCAUUGUCGAACCCUCUAUUCCAUUUCUUAUACCACACGUGGGAGGAACGAAUGCCUGCGACGGGACGGACCGUCCCCCACUCCUCCUUUCUUGCUUCUCGGAACACCGUGAUGUCGCUCGACGGAAUUUCCAGCAGUGCCAUCCGUGUCCGUGACCGCCGAGGAGAACGACCUUGCCACCGAAGCCGCCUCCGUGUCCACCUCCAUAACCACCGAGGUGGCCACCACCACCGUGAAGCUUGUGGACGUGGUGAACGGUUUUCACGAGGUAGGUGGGUCCCUGAAGAGCCUGAACGUGGAAGCCAUGCCCAUGACCGCCACCAAAGCCUCCACCGAAGCCGCCUUUGAGAACAACGACGCCACCACCGUGGCCACCGCCGUAUCCUCCCCCGUGACCACCGAGGAGUCCUCCCAUGGCGGCUCCAAUGACUCCGCAAAUAACAAGGGCAACGGUCUGGAAGAAAUAUCAAAUACGCUAUGACACCAAGCGACAUAACACGUAUGAUAACGUCCCAUUUAACUACAUCACUCCAUUUUUUUAAGCUUUCGUCAACUGUUAAGGUUGGGCCCUUAUGAAGUAUACAAGCACCUAUACAAGUAUACCAUACCGCAUCGUUGCACCUCGGCACCAGUUGCAUCACACGUUAUAUGAGUAGUCCGCUUCGCAUACUAAACGUUACCCAAUAAAUCAUACUAAGGCGAGU